UUUAUUUUUAAAAAUAGUAUAAAGUUUGAUGGAUGGAUUGAGAGUAACAAUAUGUAUUUUGUGAGGAAACAACGGGUGGAAAAGGGAUCCAAUGUUGUUAUGUUUUUACUUUUGAAAUCUGUAACUGUAAUGGUUUUUCUUUAUUAUUUAUUUAUUGUUGUUUUUAUUUGUAUUCUUAAUGAACCCACUUUUUAUUUAUUAUUUUUAUUUUUAUUUUUAUUUUUUUCAAACAACAAAAGAAACAUCGAAAAUGGCUGGUAUAGAACCCCAAAAUAUCACCAAACAUGACGUAGAAGAAUGUUCAAUUUCUUGACCAAAUAUGUGGAAAAUUUUGGUGCGGUUACAUAUGCACAAUAUCCAACAUUUUCAAAAGAAACAAAAAAAAAUUUUUUUCAUCAAACCACAUUUAGGUCAGGUAUGCGUGGCUGGAUCUGGCAAAAAGUAACGAUGUUACUUGUCUAAGACUGAUGAAGCGGGUGUAAAGAUGAGUCUGGUGGUGAAAUGGAGAAGGCUGGAAUGCAAAAACAGUCAUUCGAAAGGAAAAUUUUCAUCUUUACGAAAUUCGAUAGGUUCUUUAUCACGUGUUGAACACAUCAUGAGGCUCAAGUGUUUGGUUUUGUUCUGUGAAUUUACAAGAAUGAAAAAGAUCGACAGGCAAAUGGGUCAAAAGUUGAAAAGUGAAAGAGGGAGUAGAGGUAGUUGUAUGGAGGAAGAAAAUAGAUAAUUUAGAGGAAAUAGAUGAG